GAUCCUGGCUCAGGAUGAACGCUAGCUACAGGCUUAACACAUGCAAAUCGAGGGGCAGCAUUGGAGUAGCAAUACUCAGAUGGCGACCGGCGCACGGGUGAGUAACACGCAUCCAACCUGCCGCUUACUCGGGGAUAGCCUUUCGAAAGAAAGAUUAAUACCCGAUGGUAUAAAGAGUUCGCAUGUUCUCUUUAUUAAAGAAUUUCGGUAAGCGAUGGGGAUGCGUUCCAUUAGAUAGUUGGCGGGGUAACGGCCCACCAAGUCUACGAUGGAUAGGGGUUCUGAGAGGAAGGUCCCCCACAUUGGAACUGAGACACGGUCCAAACUCCUACGGGAGGCAGCAGUGAGGAAUAUUGGUCAAUGGACGAGAGUCUGAACCAGCCAAAAGUAGCGUGAAGGAUGACUGCCCUAUGGGUUGUAAACUUCUUUUAUAAGGGAAUAAAGUGAGGGACGUGUCCCUUUUUGUAUGUACCUUAUGAAUAAGGAUCGGCUAACUCCGUGCCAGCCGCCGC
rnacentral:rRNA from 1 species